AAGGAAUCAUUUGAUUUCCACAUACCUUUGCUUACCUUUUUUGUUUAUUCCUCCCUCUUGCUUCAUGUGUCUUUCUAUUUUGGAGCAGUGGGACAUGGAGGUGUGAUUUAUGCUCACCUGGGAAGAUGAAGCAAGAUGGACGUAAGGAAGAAGAAAGCAACAGAAAACCACUUUCUGAAACUCAGUGGAAUCUUGGUCUGCAAAUCCUGCUCUGGCAACUCUGCAACCAACAACUUGGAAGGAGCUACAAACUCAAUUACUCCAGCACUUUUAUCUGUGAAGGUCAGAGGU
rnacentral:lncRNA from 11 species